UUUUCCACGCGCGUCAUUUCAAAUUCGAAAUCUCCGUUCUCCCUCUUCACUAAAACAACUCAUCCGCCGCGCCGGAGGUCGCCUCUGGCAGCGACGGAGACCUAAACUACAAAGUCAAGAUACCAAAUUCCUCCUCUCAUUUCCCUGAGUUCAUAUCCACGGUCCAAUUUCUGAAGUUCUUCAUCAAUUACACAAAUUGAAACAAACUAUGUACGAACCCUAGAUCACCAAUUGUCAAAUUAAAUGCUAAUCAACCAAAAUCAAAUCCCUAAAGGGUAGGGUUUUGAUUCCCCUAGCCCAAGCAUACAUCACUGUAACUCGCAUGUAACAAAAUGAUUAAGAAGAUGAAGAACUCACUGGAGCUACGUCAAAAUCAGAGAGAGGGAGAACUCGAGAGUGUGUACUGUGGAGUGUGAGGUGAUGGAAGAAGAACUGAACUCUGAACUGUGAAAAUUAAAUGUAAAGUGACUGUGAUCUCUCUGAACCAAUGAUUGGUGAUGAUUUAUAUGGUGAGAGUAUGUAACCGAUUCGGGUAGCUCGGGCAACAAAUGGGCACUAUCAACUCAGCUAAUCCUCCAAGUGUAAGUUUGUUAAAAGUGAGCAAUCUGUUAUUAAUUUGUUAAGUUGAAUGUUUGAACCUGUUAGAGGAUGAUUGUUAGUUUGAGAUUCUAUUUUAGUUAGAUGUUAGUGAAUCUGAGUUGUUAGUUGUUAGAUGCAAGUGAAAGCGGUUAUAUGUUGAAGUGUGCCUUGCUGUAUCAACUUGUAUGCAUUGCCUUGAUGUUUGGAUUGUGAUGAAUGGUUUGUUGUAUCAGUUUUUUGUGAAAUGCUAUUGUAUUUA